GACGGAGGGUGCAAGCGUUGUUCGGAUUGACUGGGCGUAAAGGGCGUGUAGGCGGUCGGCCAAGUCUGAUGUGAAAGCCCGAGGCUCAGCCUCGGAAGUGCGUCGGAAACUAGUCGGCUGGAGCGCGAUAGAGGAGGGUGGAAUUCCUGGUGUAGCGGUGAAAUGCGUAGAUAUCAGGAGGAACACCGGCGGCGAAGGCGGCCCUCUGGAUCGUUGCUGACGCUGAUACGCGAAAGCGUGGGGAGCAAACAGG
rnacentral:rRNA from 1 species